rnacentral:rRNA from 1 species
AACGUAGGAGACAAACGUUAUCCGGAGUUACUGGGCGUAAAGGGCGUGCAGGUGGUUUCGUAAGUCUGGCGUGAAAUUUUUCGGCUUAACCGGGAAAGGUCGUCGGAUACUGCAGAACUAGAGGACGGUAGAGGCGUGUGGAAUUCCGGGUGUAGUGGUGAAAUGCGUAGAGAUCCGGAGGAACACCAGUGGCGAAGGCGGAUCUCUGGGCCUUACCUGACGCUCAGGCACGAAAGCUAGGGGAGCGAACAGG